rnacentral:rRNA from 1 species
UACGGGAGGCAGCAGUGAGGAAUAUUGGUCAAUGGACGAGAGUCUGAACCAGCCAAGUAGCGUGCAGGAAGACGGCCCUAUGGGUUGUAAACUGCUUUUAUAAGGGAAUAAAGUGAGUCUCGUGAGACUUUUUGCAUGUACCUUAUGAAUAAGGACCGGCUAAUUCCGUGCCAGCAGCCGCGGUAAUACGGAAGGUCCGGGCGUUAUCCGGAUUUAUUGGGUUUAAAGGGAGCGUAGGCCGGAGAUUAAGCGUGUUGUGAAAUGUAGACGCUCAACGUCUGCACUGCAGCGCGAACUGGUUUCCUUGAGUACGCACAAAGUGGGCGGAAUUCGUGGUGUAGCGGUGAAAUGCUUAGAUAUCACGAAGAACUCCGAUUGCGAAGGCAGCUCACUGGAGCGCAACUGACGCUGAAGCUCGAAAGUGCGGGUAUCGAACAGGAUUAGAUACCCUGGUAGUCCGCACGGUAAACGAUGGAUGCCCGCUGUUGGUCUGAAUAGGUCAGCGGCCAAGCGAAAGCAUU